rnacentral:lncRNA from 10 species
GUUUUAUCUCUGUUGUUGCGUAUAGCAGACUUUCCUUUCUUUCAAGGCUGAAUAAUAGUCCAUUGUAUGGAUAGACCACAUUUUGUUUAUCUAUUCAUCAGUUGAUGGACAUUUGGGCUGUUUCCACCUCUGGGCUAUUGUGAAUCCUGCUGUAAUGAGCAUAGGCGUACAAGCAUCUCCUUGCCUUUGCCGCCUUCUUCAGAGAAGUAUUUAAGGUCAAACAGUGGGGAAGUGUCCUUCUUCAGGGGCUCACCCUGCAGCCUCUAGCUUGAUUUUUAUCCCACGUCACAGUGAAUGGGCCUAGUCAGUCCAGCCAGGUCUAAGGAUACAACAAGACCAUCAGCUUGGCGGAGUACCUACGGGCAGCUAUGAAUUCUGCAAAGGAAAUGAGAGGGGACAAACAGGACAAAGAGGCAGCGUGACCAGGCCACUGUGAGUCCUAUAUUUCAACAAGGAAACAGGAUCUGAAAGCCAAUCGCUGAGCCUCCUGGGCCAUACACUGUCCCACCAUUUCAGAAGAAACUCAGUGAGGAGAGGGCAGAGGGAGAAUAUGUCCAGCAUCUCAGCCUCAUUGUUUUCCACUUGGCAGCCCCCUCCGGUUCAGGAUUCAUUUGAAGCAGCCCACAGGGACGGGUGACACUGAGGAAACAAAACCCAGGCCCUCCGGCCUCCGACCGAGCGGUGCAGAGCAUGCUGGGAGAUCACUUCCACCUGAGGAGCACAAAAGACCCCAGGAGUGGAGGAAGCUGGCCUGAGGCCAACCGGAUGUAGCAGACUUGCUGGGCCCAAGGAGGGAGGUCUGGUGAUGGAGCCUCGAGUACAUAUCCUUCCAAUCCUAAGGUAAACAGCGCUUGGGGCUUUGGCUGCAGGGAGGGCGUGGCCCAUUGAAGUGGCUGGUACAAGGCGCGUACAAGGCAGGCCUUCUGAUUUUUUUUUAAACUGUCUUAUGAAUUAUACUGUACCUACAGAAAAAACACAACAGGAAACUUAAAUGAAUGGCUCAGUGAAAUUGCAAACGUUUGCCCAGAUCAAGACCUAAGAUGUUAGCACUUUGGAAAUCUCCCUCCUGCCCUCUCUAAAUUGUUAUCCUUCAUCCAUCCCUGUCCCCAAAAGUGACCUCUUUCUGGAUUAUAAACAUCAGUUUUGUCUGCUUUUGCAUUUAAUAUAAAUACAAUGCAUUCCUUUUUUUUUUUUUUUUUUUUUUGAGACGGAGUCUCGCUCAGUCGCCCAGGCUGGAGUGCAGUGGCGCGAUCUCGGCUCACUGCAAGCUCCGCCUCCCGAGUUCACGCCAUUCUCCUGCCUCAGCCUCCCGAGUAGCUGGGACUACAGGAGCCCGU